rnacentral:lncRNA from 1 species
CCUGCGUCUCUCCCCGCACACCCUCACGCGGGUUUUCUUUACUCCUGUCAUCGUGUUCCUCCGAGUUCCUCGUUAGUUCCCACACACUCCCCCAUCUCUCCGGAAACGUCGCGCUUGCCCUUCUGCAUCUCUGUCCGCCCACCCCCAGCCAGUCUGGCUCCCUGUCCCUGUCUGGGAGCUCGUCUCCUUUCCUCAGGACUCGAGUCCACCCCACGCCCGCUGUCCCGCUGCCCCCUCGUCUACCCGCCGCGUGGCCCCGGAGGUGAGGACGGGUCUUGUCCCGGGCGCGUCCGGGUCCCACCGCAGCGCCGCAGCCGCGCGGCCUCCGCACCCCGUCCCCGGCUGCCUCUCCGCCUCUCCUCUGCCUCGGCUCCCGGCCUCCGCCUCCCUGAUGCCUGCGCCUCACGCCGGCCCGCUGCUCUCCUGGUUGUUCCUUGCGCUCCCCGCUUCCCGCUCUCUCUCCCUCUCGACCCUCACACAAACACCGGCUCCCCCCACGCCCCCACCCCGUCUCUCCCCUCCACACUCUCACUGGGCUCUUCCUGUGCCUUCUUUCGUUCGCUCUUUCCCUCCUCCCUGCUCCUCCGUCUUCUCCCCGCCGGGGGCCUUCCCGCCGCGGCGCCUCUACCCCGCUCCACGCCCCGUCUCUCCCCCUCCCAUUUCCCCGAGGCUUCCUCACCGUCUCCGGUCUCUCGGUCUCUCUUCCUCCCACACCUGCCCCCUGCCCCCCGCGGUCAGCACCCCUGCGGACACCCCCCGCCCCGGCCGCCUCCAACGGCGGGGAGGCCCCUCUGGCACCAACGGGGCGGGAGGGGCGCCCCGCGAGCUAGUGAUACGCGUCUCCUGCCUCCGCACAGUGGCCCCGUGAUUGAUGUUUCCACGCGACUCCCGUCACGUCCCGCCAGCGCCCGGGACCAGCGGCCUGCAGGUCCCCGCAGCUCCUCGCGCACCGGGACGGGGCUGCACGGGCGUCACCUCCCGGGAGGCUGCAAACCCUCCCUUCCCUCUCGUCGGGCUCUAGCGCCGUCGUUCCUUUGGUCCCCUACGUCUCCCGGCUCCUUCGGCGCGCCGCGGGCUCCGCGCCGCUUCCCCGGGGUGGCGGCUGACGCGGGAGCCGUGUCUCCGCGGCCGGGCGUCACCCGCCCUUCGCUCUACCCUCGCUCUCGGGCUCCCCCGUCUCGUCGCGUCUCCCCGGACUCCCUCCCGGGCGGGCCGGGCCCGGGCCUCGGGGCGUGCGCGCGCCUGUGCCGUACCUGUCCGCGCGCGCGCCCGUGCCUGCCUGUGUGCGCGUGCGUGCCGUGGCCGCGGCGGGCCCCCUCUUCCCGCCCGCGUUCUCCUCCCCGACCCCCCCGUAUCCCCCUCCUGCUCCUGUCGCGCUCCCGCCGCCCCUACACCCGCUGUGACACAGUCACCCCUCACUCCACACCUCACUCUUCUCAGCCUGGUCCUCGCGCGGCGCGCUCUCUCUCCAACCUUUUUUCCGCCACUUCUCUCACCUCCGCUCCCCGCCCCUCCCUCACCCCUCCUUUCUCAGCCUCUCGCCGCCUCUGCCCUGGUCUUCCCCGCCGGCCCGCUCUCCACGCUCCAGUGUGCCUUAAAAAUUUUUUUAAAAAAGAUUUUAUUUAUUUAUCCUUAGACACACAGAGAGAAGCAGAGACACAGGAAGAGGGAGAAGCAGGCUCCAUGCAGGGAGCCCGAUGUGGGACCCGAUCCCGGGUCUCUAGGGUCACACCCCAGGCCGCAGGCGGCGCCAAACCGCUGCGCCACCGGGGCUGCCCUCCGGUCUGCCUUUCUAUCCUUUCCUGUUUCCCGUCUGCUUCUCUCCCCUUGCUCGGCCUGCUCCCCUGCCCGGCCCCGCUUGGCCUCGGCCUCGGCCCCCUGGCUGCCAGCCAGCUCUCCGCUCCUUCCUGCCCCUCGCCCCUCGGCCUUCUUACUCCGUGGCUCUCUCGUGGGUCUCAGCUGCUCCCAACUGCUCCCUGCCGCUCCGCACCACCCCCUUCUCGUCUCCCUCCUCCCUGCCCAUCCUCUCUGCUCUGCCUUCCAUUUCCAACUCUAUCCCUCGGUCCCUCUCCCUCCUUCUCCUGCCCCCAGCCUCGCUCUCGGGUGCCAGGGUCUCCUUUCUUCUUCCCUUACGCCUCCUUCUCCCAGGACCUCCCCCCAGCCUAUCUUCUCUCUCAUCUCCUGCCUCCUUGCUCCCCUCUCCUGCUGGCUUCCUUGCCUUCUCUCCUGUCUUCUCUUUCCAGUAUCUCUCCGUUCCUUUUCACCCUCUGA